rnacentral:tRNA from 1 species
AAGGAUUUAAGUUAAUACAAAACUAACGGCCUUCAAAGCUGUAAAUAGAAUACAAGCUUUCUAAGCCUUA